AAAAAUUAUUUAGUAAUCAAAUAUGUAAGAUUGAAUUAUAUCGAGUGAAUAUUUUAUAUUUAUUGUAAUUAUUGUUGUUGUUUGUUUGAUUUAGAAACUGCAAAUGUCCUUGUUUAAAGAUUGGAGGUUUUUUUGGUAGGUUCCUUGGACAGUGUCCAUUUCCCUUAAGAUUGGAAGUUUUUUAUCAUCUCUAAUCAACUUGGGUGGUAGGAGAAAGUGG
rnacentral:lncRNA from 1 species